GGGGCUCUCUCAGGGAAUAAGACCAACUAGACCUCAUCUUCACUGAAUUUAUCGUCCAGCAAGUAAUAAACAUAAAGAGUGGUGAGUGAGAAGAACACAGUGUGACAGGAGCACAUUGCAGGACAAUUGAACAUAUUUUAGGAGUUGGGGAAGAUUGGCACCAGAGGAUGGGUAAGACACAAAUAAAGAGGGUAGAAAAGUGAUUCAGACAACAGGAGGCUGGUGAAGGGCCAAGGAAUAAGAAAGGACUUAUAAAUUCUAGCAUCUAAAAAAGUCCAAGAAGCUGGAAUGUAAAAUAUGGAGAAGGAAAAGAUAAGGAGUCAGGUUGUAGGAAUAGCCAAGGGCUAGAUCUUGUGUAGCAUAGCCAGGAAUUUGGACUUUGCCCUUUUAAGCUGGGGCAUAACAUGUCCCACCUUCUGUUCCCUAACCUUUUACCUAUAAUUUCCUAUAUUUACCUAUAAAUUGCUUAAAAUAUUUUACCUAUAAAUUGCUUAAAAUACUUGCUAAAUAUAUGUUACAUAUUAUUAGAUGUCUAUCAAAGAAUGCAAAGCAAUGGAAAAAAACUGAGACAGUAUUGACAUCAGGGGAAAAAAAUUGUAGAUGAUGAUGUCAUGAGUAUGCUAGAUGGCUCGGCUAUGAGCCAUGGUAAACACUAAAAAGGAUUUAAUUAAAUAUGCUAUAUUUGAAAGAUUUGUAGACAGUCAAUAGAUAGUAUCUAAAAUUAAAAACUCAAAUAUUUGUAGAAACACAUUACUGAGAAAUAAAAAAUACAUAUUCGAACAAAAAUUGAAAGAUGUGCAGUUACUUCUGAGUCAAUGAGCAAAGGGAGAUGGAAUGGAGUAAGCUGAGGCUGGGGAUUGUUUUUGAUUAUAAUUUUUGUAUAUGUAUUAUUUUGUUAUUUUUACUAUUGAAUAUGUGGGGUUUUGACAGAAGCAUAAAUUGAAUGUGUGUGCAUGCAUGGACUCACACACCCACACACCCUGCAAAUCUAAACUUAGAAAGGAACAGUGGGAGGCAGCCAUGGCACCCCCUACUGGCCUUCUCAUGGAUGGUCUAUUGAUGGGUCUCACUACCCUGUCCAGACCUGCCCCCAUUGCUGAACCAGUCAUGUCUCCACAGGAAAACAGCAGCCUCUGACCUUCCAUUUCUUAGAGGUUUCAUGAACUGGACUGCCAAGCAACAUUUGGAUUUUCAGUACUAGGGACAACUCAUAGGUACCUGCUUAGAUUCUGAGUUGGUGGAAGUUCAGGGCACUCUGGUUUUUCCAAGCAGGCUAGGACAGCAUGGAAGUUUAAACUCUCAGUACAGUGAAGCAUGAGCCAGAGAUGGAGUGCCUACUCUCUUUGAUUUGAGUGAAACAUUUACUUAUGAGAAGUAGAUUCAGCAUCUGAGUCACCAGACACUGAAAUAUUACAGCAAAGAUCUUUACGUGUUUCCUACCUCAUCACUACAUACCCACUCAUCUGAGAUGUGUGAUGCUUGACACGGACAGAACUCAAACUGUCUUUUACUACCUAUGAAGGAAGAAAUGAUGAUAGAUCAUAAUUGAAACAACCUACUGAGGAGAGGAAGCUGUUUUCAAGCACCUUCAAGAACUUUAAAAGGGCUCGUUUUAUCAACAAUGUUAAUUAAAAAUCAUUCUUAUUAAAGCAAUUCCUCUAAUUUUCUCUACCAGAUAAAAUUGUAUUAGGCCACUUUCAGUGACAAGAUAUGCUUGACAGAAGAAAAAAGUGUUAAAAUGUUUUACGAAUGAGAUUUUAACUCUUCAGAAUAAGUUUUACAUGCAUUGAUUUUUUUUUUAAGUAAAGUGUUACAUAUUCUAACACAAUUUCACCCCACCCACCCCCUUAAAGUCAAUGAGGAUAUUUAUCUCCUCUCAAUAUAAGGUUGUUUUGUUUUGUUGUUUUGGGGGUUGGGUUUUUUUGUAAAAACUUUUGGAUAUUUUUCCAAAACUAAUGCCAAACAUUUCUUCAUUAUAUCCUAAAAGAAUCACUUUCAUCAAAGUAAAUGUUCAUGAUAAAUGUUAUUAAGUAUAACCAGAAUAAUAACUAAAAAUAGCUCAAAUUGUCUAGCUACAUUUUGUCAACAAUCUUGCUCUAGCCAAGUUCCCCAUUCAUUGCACAAUCUAUAUUUUGGGAAGGACAGAACAUAAUUGCUUCCAAACAAAAUUUCAAGCCUGUGUACAUUUCCUUCCCACCAUCAGUUUCAGUUAAAUGAAUUAAUCUUUGAAAAGGGGGAAAUGCAGAAAGCAGGACUUCUCCCAAAAACACAUUUAAUGUGUAUUUUAUCAAGGGCUUUAAUUAUAAAGUUGUAAUGGGUGAUUUUUGUUAUAAUCAUCACUGGAGAGAUUUCAGUGUUUUAGAGCAGAGAUCCCCAACUCCUGGGCCACAGACCAGUACCAGUCUAUGGCCUGUUAGGAACUGGGCUGCACAGCAGGAGGUGAGCAGCAGGUGAUCAAGUGAAGCUUCAUCUGUAUUUACAGUUGCUCCUCAUCGCUUGCAUUACUGCCUGAGCUUUGUCUCCUGUUAGAUCAGCAACGGCAAUGAGUGGCAGCAUUAGAUUCUCACGGGAGCACAUACCCCAUUGUGAACUGCCCACAUGCAAGGGAUCUAGGUUGCACACUCCUUAUGAGAAUCUAAUGCCUGAUGAUCUGUCACUGACUCCCAUUACCCCCACAUGGGGCCAUCUAGUUGCAGGAAAAUGAGCUCAGGGCUCCCACUGAUUCUACAUUAUGGUGAGUUGUAUAGUUAUUUCAUUAAAUGUAAUAAUAAUAGAAAUAAAGUACACCAUAAAUGUAUUGUGCUUCAAUCAUCCCAGAACCAUCCCCUGCUCUCCUGGUCUGUGGAAAAAUUGUCUUCCACUAAACCAGUCCCUAGUUCCACAAAGGUUGGGGUUUGCUGUUUUACGAUGUUACUUUCAUCUUUCGCCUUAGCAUACCUUGUUCAGACAAGCAGCAAACAGCAAAUGCUAACCUGAUGAAAAGAUACUUAAUCGUACUAAGGCAUAAAAGCAAACCCAAAAAAUAUUUCUAAUAUACUUGAGGCAAUGCUACAUAAAAAUUUUUGUUAGCUUAUUCAAUUGCCUCUUCUAAAGUACAAGUAUGUGAAUUACUCAGCUAGGACACAAGGCACAUUUUUUCUGAGUUGGCAAAUCUUAUUUUAUGGACUAUUCUAGUACCCUUUUAAAAUUCAUCAAAUUUUAACAUUCAAAGCAUAGUAUAUGGAUAUUUAGGGAAUAUGAACAAGUAUAAAAUACAGUUCUUACUCUCAAUCUGAUUACAUCCUAUCAUGGAAAAUAAUCUUCCUGUGGGUGCAUUUUGUCUCAGCUGAAGCCAGACUUCUCCAAUAAUAAAUCACCUACAAUUCAGAGCCAACACUAGACAUGUGAAGAAUUAAAGGCCUGGCAAAUAGAGGUGGCAGAGAGAGGAGUGGUAACAGUGAUAGAUCUGAACUUCUUACCAGAUCCUGACUUGUUACCAGUGAAAAGGUCCUUGAAAUGGAAUCCUUAAAAGAUAAGUCCAUGUAUCCCAGAACUUAAAGUAAAAUUUUUUUAAAAAAAGUUAAAAAAAAGAUAUGUCCUACACAGUGAUUUCUGUAAUAAAGUACACUACAUUUUACAUAAAGUCUUAUUUCUCACAACACUUUGGUGGAGCUCUUUGCAAACAAAUUAACACAUGAAAGAGGUCAGUAAUUUGCUUGAGGUCAUGUAGUUUAUUGAGUGACAAGUUCAGCAAUUAAGGAAUUAUACAAAACAUGUAUGAGUUUUUAAUACUAUUUUGGCUUAAAUGUGAUUAUUUUUGCAUCCUAGAGAUAUAUAUAGGCAUGGGAAAAAAGCCAUGUGUGUAUCAAUGUCAUUAUAGAUCUUCUCUGGAUAAGACUUGGAAUGAUAUUUUCUUCUUGUUUAUGUGUAUUUAUAAUUUAUAAUGAUUGCGUUUUGCUUAUGUCAUAAGAAAUUUUAAGAAUAAAAUUAAAUAGUAACAAUUAA
rnacentral:lncRNA from 1 species